rnacentral:rRNA from 1 species
CCUACGGGAGGCAGCAGUGGGGAAUAUUGCACAAUGGGGGAAACCCUGAUGCAGCGACGCCGCGUGAGUGAAGAAGGUUUUCGGUUCGUAAAGUCCUAUCAGCAGGGAAGAAAAUGACGGUAUCUGACGAAGAAGCACCGGCUAACUACGUGCCAGCAGCCGCGGUAAUACGGAGGGUGCAAGCGUUAUCCGGAUUCACUGGGCGUAAAGGGCGCGUAGGCGGCAGAGCAAGUCUGAUGUGAAAUCCGAUGGCUUAACCAUGGAACUGCAUUUGAAACUGUUCUGCUGGAGUGUGGGAGAGGUAGGUGGAAGUCUUGGUGGAGGGGUAAAAUCCGUAGAGAUCAAGAGGAAUA